GCUGGGUGCAGUGGUUCUUAACAGUUCAACAGUUCUGUAGCAUAAUUGUGAAAUGUUUAGGACCACUUGAUCCGGA
rnacentral:pre_miRNA from 1 species